ACUGUGGUAGCCUAGUGGUUAGAGCGACCGCCUCAGAGGCGGGAGGUCGUGGGUUCGAACACACACACACACACA